AGGGGCGUCGUAUAACGGCAAUACUUUGGUCUCCAAAACCAACUAUGCGGGUUCGAUUCCUGCCGCCCCUGCCA
rnacentral:tRNA from 1 species